rnacentral:rRNA from 1 species
UAACUAGGGAAUUCCUUAGUAACGGCGAGUGAACCGGGAUGAGCUCAAAUUUGAAAUCUGGCGUCUUUCAGGCGUCCGAGUUGUAAUCUAUAGAGGCGUUUUCCGCGCCGGACCGCGUCCAAGUCUCUUGGAAUAGAGUAUCAAAGAGGGUGACAAUCCCGUACUUGACGCGACAACCGGUGCUCUGUGAUACGUUCUCAAUGAGUCGAGUUGUUUGGGAAUGCAGCUCUAAAUGGGUGGUAAAUUCCAUCUAAGGCUAAAUAUUGGCGAGAGACCGAUAGCGAACAAGUACCGUGAGGGAAAGAUGAAAAGCACUUUGGAAAGAGAGUUAAACAGCACGUGAAAUUGUUAAAAGGGAAACGAUUGAAGUCAGUCGUGUGGGAAGUAUUCAGCCGUCUCUGGCGGUGUAUUUGCUUCUCACGGGUCAACAUCAGUUUGAUCCGGUAGAAAAAGGCGGGAAGAAGGUGGCACCCUCGGGUGUGUUAUAGCUUCCUGUCAUAUGUGCCGGACCAGACUGAGGAACGCAGCUUGCAGCAAUGCCGGGGUUCGCCCACGUACAAGCUUAGGAUGUUGACAUAAUGGCUUUAAACGACCCGUCUUGAACCACGGACCA